rnacentral:rRNA from 1 species
AGAAUCAACGCUGGCGGCGUGCCUAACACAUGCAAGUCGAACGCGAAAGUCCCGCAAGGGAUAAGUAGAGUGGCAAACGGGUGAGUAACACGUGGGUGACCUGCCUUCGAGUGGGGGAUAACGUCCCGAAAGGGACGCUAAUACCGCAUGACAUCCUGCUUUUUAAGAGGUGGAGAUCAAAGCUGGGGAUCGCAAGACCUAGCGCUUGAAGAGGGGCCCGCGUCCUGAUUAGCUAGUUGGUGGGGUAAUGGCUCACCAAGGCAACGAUCAGUA